GAUGAACGCUGGCGGCGUGCCUAACACAUGCAAGUCGAGCGGACGGACGAGAAGCUUGCUCCCCUGAUGUUAGCGGCGGACGGGUGAGUAACACGUGGAUAACCUACCUAUAAGACUGGGAUAACUUCGGGAAACCGGUGCUACUACCGGAUAAUAUUUUGAACCGCAUGGUUCAAAAGUGAAAGACGGUCUUGCUGUCACUUAUAGAUGGUUCCGCGCUGCAUUAGCUAGUUGGUAAGGUAACGGCUUACCAAGGCAACGAUGCAUAGCCGACCUGAGAGGGUGAUCGGCCACACUGGAACUGAGACACGGUCCAGACUCCUACGGGAGGCAGCAGUAGGGAAUCUUCCGCAAUGGGCGAAAGCCUGACGGAGCAACGCCGCGUGAGUGAUGAAGGUCUUCGGAUCGUAAAGCUCUGUUAUUAGGGAAGAACAUAUGUGUAUUUAACUGUGCACAUCUUGACGGUACCUAAUCAAAAAGCCACGGCUAACUACGUG
rnacentral:rRNA from 1 species